UACGUAGGGUGCGAGCGUUGUCCGGAAUUAUUGGGCGUAAAGAGCUUGUAGGCGGUUUGUCGCGUCUGCUGUGAAAAUCCGGGGCUCAACCCCGGACUUGCAGUGGGUACGGGCAGGCUAGAGUGUGGUAGGGGAGACUGGAAUCCCUGGUGUAGCGGUGGAAUGCGCAGAUAUCAGGAGGAACACCGAUGGCGAAGGCAGGUCUCUGGGCCACUACUGACGCUGAGAAGCGAAAGCAUGGGGAGCGAACAGG
rnacentral:rRNA from 1 species